rnacentral:tRNA from 1 species
AUUUAAAUAGUUUAAUUAAAAAUUUUGAUUUGUGGUAUCGAGGAUGUAAUCUUACUUUAAAUU